GUGCUCACUUCAGCAGCACAUAUACUAAAAUUGUAGAAAAAGAAGAUUAAUAUGGCCGCUGUGUAAGGAUGGCAUGCACGUUGGUGAAGUGUCUCAUAUUUUU